CUCUCUGUCUCCCUCUCUCUCGCUCUCUCUGUCUCCCUCUCUCUCUCUCUCCCUCUCCCUCUCUCUCCCUCUCCCUCUCUCUCUCUCUCUCUCUCUCUCAGACCCAGCACACUCCAACGCUACUAUCUGUGCUGAGCCUGGUGCAUACAGUCCUGCCACACGCCUCACUGCGCUCACAUACGGAGGAGGCAGCACACGCGCACGCAUGCACAGCCAAGGCUACCCUGAGGACAGCACGCGCUUCGAGAGGCACGCACGGGCGACCACACGCCUACAGACGCUCGGUGUGAGAGAGGCACAUGCCGCGGUCUCGGCGGCGCGGCGGCGCAGGACGGGCUGCUGGGCGGGCGGCAGGCUGGGAAUGUGAAGCCGCUGUUUGACGCCGACGGCGGCGCUGGAUUAUUCCGCUCUCCCUCUUUCAUCUUCCCCUUCUUAUUUCCUCUAAUCUGCCUCCCCCUCCCCCCUCACCUUCUGACAGCCCCCUUUCUCGCCUGGGCUUGGGCUGCUGUUGCUGCUGUGUCAGUGGGAGAAUAUUUUACCGGAUUACAGCAGUCAGUGUUUCCCCUUUAUUGCCCCCCACUACAAAAAUAAACAGCCCACUGCGGUCAGAGGGCGCUGAAAAGGACGGAGCACCAGAAGAAGCGACUCCAUCGCAGAUCGCUGACUGUCGGCCUCUGCCAGUGAAGCUUGGCGUCGAGGCACACCGAUGCCUAGCUGGGUCUGAGGCGGGCAAACGCAGGCGCAGACGAGUCGCAGCUGAGAGGCACACGCGCAGCCAUGCGGCUCUUCACCGGGCCUGUGUUGAGCCGCUCUGGGAGCAGCACUCAGAGCAGCCCUGCGCUGCUCUGCGUGUUGUAUCUGCUGGUCAUGCAGCUGCAGCCCUGCUCCGGCUGCCCGUCUGUAUGUGUAUGCAGCUUAUCCGAGGCAGACUGCAGUGGCCGCGGCCUGGUGGCGCUCCCCGCCCUGUCAUCGCUCCCAUCAUCCACGCGCACCCUCCUCCUGCCCAACAACCGCCUCUCCUUGCUGCCCACCGCAGCCUUCACCAACCUCAGCUCCCUCGAGAGGCUGGACCUGUCCAACAAUUACCUGGACAACCUGCCAGCCGGCUUGUUUGCUGAGCUGGCCAACCUGAGCGAUCUCAGCUUGAGGAACAACAGCCUAACGGCACUGGACCGUGACCUCCUGCAAGGCCUGGGAAGCCUGCGGAGGCUGGAUGUGUCUCUGAACGGCCUGGCUGCCGUCCCACUGGGUCUGCUGGACCAGCAGCAAGGCCUGACGUGGUUGUCCCUGGCCGGGAACAGGCUGCAGGCGCUGGAGAGGGCCGCCUUUGAGCCGCUGGUUAACCUGCAGCACCUGGAGCUGGGCUCUAACCCGUGGGAGUGCGACUGCAACCUGCGCGACUUCAAGCACUGGAUGGAGUGGUUAAUCUACCGAGGUGGCUAUGUGGACGCCAUGGAGUGCACCCUCCCCAAAGACCUGCGAGGGCGGGACAUCCGGAGCGUACCCGUGGAGAUGUUCAACUACUGCCUGCAGCUGGAGGAUGAGAACGGGGGCGGGUCUGGAGGGACGAAGGGCGGCUCUCCCCCGUGCGUGCGGGCCACAGCGGCGCCACCCUCCGAGAGCACAGUGGUGCGGACGGAGACCGAGGCGCCGGACUGUGUGAGGCAGCGCUAUCGGCCUGUCAGCGUGCGACGGGCCAUCGGCACGGUGGUGAUCGCCGGCGUGGUGUGCGGCAUUGUGUGCAUCAUGAUGGUGGCGGCAGCCGCAUACGGCUGCAUCUACGCCUCCCUGAUGGCCAAGUACCAGCGCGAGCUGAAGAAGAGGCAGCCGCUGAUGGGCGACGCCGAGGCGGAAGCUGACCCUGAGGAGAAACAGAUCUCAUCGGUGGCGUAGAGCAGGGGAAGAGGGGUCAGGGUUCACAGACAGGACUGCUCUGGAAUCAAAACUGCACAGUGAGAAAGAGACAGCAACCUUUACCGGGGCUGACUGAGGCUCGUUCCUGUCCUACCUACGUUCCUCUCCUCUCUCCCAAAGACUAGUUGCAGACAUUCUCCUCAUGCUAAGGACCCCUGCUCUAACGCCUUUGCCCUCUGUCCUUGGAUCACAGUCCGCCCCCUAGAACCAGAGGCUCAAUCAGCACUUUAAAACUUCACCCCUUCGUCUCGGCCCUGGUCUUGGAAGGAAGGAUUGCGGGGAGGAAAGAUGAAUAGCUGCUGUUUGAUUGCUCCUCUAUGGUGUACUCCUCUAGUGGCUAACAUCAGCAUCUGCACUAGCAGCUGCAUCAACCUUGCCCCUGCCCUAAAUAUACCCACUUCGCCCCACGGAGACUCUAUUUUGGUGGAAUGCAGGACACAGGGAGUGACAGCUGUGAAACAACAGGGCCACGGAACUAACCAUACAAGAAUCGACCAGGGCGGUUCUCUGCAGCACGGCGGUACCACACCGGGAAGUGGUCCAGAGUGAAAAGAUUAUCUUUAUCUGAUGCAGACAGAAAUUUCCUGCAGAACAAACAGUAACUGAAGCCCACUUCCAGAAAACAACAGCUCAAGCAAACAGUGUCAUCACGGCUAAAUGUCUUCAAAUGCCACCCUGACCUAUAGCACCCGCACAGCCAAGAGCAAUUACGCUUCAGGAUAAUGUACUGACCACUCCAGGUAAGGGGAGAGGAGCCGCCCCAGGUGGAGGAGUGUAAGUAUCUCUGGGUUUUGUUGAUGAGUGAUGGGAAGAGGGAUGGUGAGAUCGGCCGCAGGCUGGGACAGGCGGCAGCAGUAAUGCGGUCACUGUACUGGACUGUAGUGGUGAAGAGGAGCUGAGCCAUAAGGCGAAGCUCUCUGUUUAACGGUCGGUCUACAUCCCGACCCUCACCUGUGGUCAUGAGCUGUGGGUAAUGACCGAAAGAACGAGAUCGCGAAUACAAGCGGUGGGAAUGAGCCUCUUCUCAGGGUGGUGCUACACUCUACUGACAGGGUGAGGAGCUUGGUCAUCCAGGAGGAACUCGGAGUAGAGCCGCUACUCCUCCGCAUUGAGAGGAGCCAGCCGAGGUGGUUCGGGCAUCUGAUCCGGAUGCCCCCUGGACACCUCCCGGUGGGGGUGUACCAGGCACGGUCUACCAGGACGAGACCCUGGGGUCAUCCUAGGACCUGCUGGAGGGAUUACAUCUCCAAGUUGGUCUGGGAGCGGCUUGAGAUCCCCGGGAAUGUGCUGGAGGAAGUUGCGGGGGAACAGGGUCGUCUGGGAUUCUCUGCUCUCUCAACAGACGGUUAACGAUGAUGAUGGUGAUGAUGAUGAUGAUGAUGAUGUUCUGAAUUUCGCUUAUACACACUGUGACACUACUGGACUUGUAAUUGCACCAAGCUUGCAUCAUCAGAAGGACUUUAAGGGCCACUGCUACCAGUGGAAAGUGGUAAAUAUUUCAUAACAAUAAGUUAAUCUCUCCUAGUGGGUGUAGUGCACCCUUAAAAACAGGCCUGGUCGAAAUCUAAAAAUCACUGCUCUGUGUCUCACAUUUGAAAAGAAAACAAAUGUUUGAAAUGUGAUAUUUUCACUUUGCCUCCAUGCUCACAGCCGGGGCAAACUGACCCAAAAACAUAAUGUCUGUAAUAUCAACAGUGGGGGGCGGUGGGGUGGGGGGUGCUAACAUGUUAAAUUAGUCAUUUACAUAUUCGUAAUACUAAAUAAGCCCAGCAGAAAAGGUUUCAUGCUCCAAAAAUGUUUUUUUUUCCUUUUUUGUGCUUUUAAACUUUGAAAUGGGUCGAUUUGACCCGACACGACGAGGACACAACAGAGAUAAAGGUUUUUCUUUGUUGAAUGAAUCCAGUUCAAUUGAAACGAUGAACCAUUUUAAAGGGAAGUAAUAACACACAGUAAAGGCCGAGGUCUCUGUAGUGCUGAGAGUUUGUUAACGCUGCUAUGUGUUACUGAUUUAUGGUAAAUUAUGCACAUAUAUCAUAAAGGGUCAGGCACAUAUUUCAAAAUAUGAGUACAUGCGUGUUGUGAACAUGUAUGGAAGUAUCAAAAGUUUAUGGUUAACAUACCAUCACUGUCCAAAGAAAAACAUGCAUCUCCAUUUUUGUCCCGGUUUUUAUUUUGAUUUUUAUUUUUAUUUUUAUCAUCUGAACGCUGCAGCCGUGAUUUACAAUGUGUGGAAAUUUCCUGACGGGACCGAUGGAACAGCUGCUAAAUCACUUGGCAUGACAUCUCUUUACAGUAACUUACAUUAGGAGUAAAGAACUUUUUGUUCUCUCCUGUAAAGUCGCCAAUCAACACGAUCAAACAUCAAACAGUUCAAACACAAACAGCACAAAGACCAGCGAAACAAGGGGCAAAGCACAGGGCUUAAAUAGCACAGGGUAAACGAGGGACAGGCGGGAAACAGGUGGAGACAAUCAGGGGUGGAGUCAUGAAAUGAGGGGGCUGGACUAAAAACCAAAACAAAUACACAUGGACAGGACUGGGAGGGGCCAACUGUGCCAUAUUCACGUCGCCAUUGUCGGAAGAAAACCUCGUCUCUUCAUUUUUGUUGUUUUUGAGUUCUUGGUGUAAUUUGAAAAGGCAUUUCAUGAUGAAUGGACCAAAAGAAACGGCCUUUAAAUGACUGGUCAGAAGGUCUGGUUCCACUGACUUCCAUUAAAAGUAAAGUAGGCGUUCUCCCGACGGCAGCGAUGUGGGUAACAACAACUUUAUACGUUAUUUAUUAUAAAACAUAUGUUACUGGAUAUGAGCAAAAUCUGUCGUCCAUCUAUGAACAAUGUUUUAUCAUGUCAGUUCUGGAUGUAUACGCAGAUAAUUGGCUGAAAUAUGUGUCCCAUAUUUUAAAUAAAUCAGCAUAUAUCUCACAUUCACCGAUCAGGCAUAACAUACUGAGGUUUUAACACCUCAGUGUCGCUGCUGGACUGAGAAUCGUCCACCAACCAAAAAUAUCA